AAUGAACGCUGGCGGCGCGCCUAAUACAUGCAAGUCGAGCGAGAAGACGUAGCAAUACGUUUGUAAAGCGGCGAACGGGUGAGGAAUACAUGGGUAACCUACCCUCGAGUGGGGAAUAACUAGCCGAAAGGUUAGCUAAUACCGCGUACGCUCCUUGGACUUCGGUUCAGGGAGGAAAGCGAUACCGUGGGUAUCGCGCUCUUGGUUGGGCUCAUGUCCUAUCAGCUUGUUGGUGAGGAACGGCUCACCAAGGCUUCGACGGGUAGCUGGUCUGAGAGGACGAUCAGCCACACUGGCACUGCGACACGGGCCAGACUCCUACGGGAGGCAGCAGUAAGGAAUAUUGCGCAAUGGGCGAAAGCCUGACGCAGCGACGCCGCGUGGGGGAGUGAAGGUCUUCGGAUUUGUAAACCCCUUUCGGGAGGGAAGAUGGAACGAGCAAUCGUUCGGACGGUACCUCCAGAAGCAGCCACGGCUAACUUCGUGCC
rnacentral:rRNA from 1 species